GUUCCCAGAGAGCAGGGCUCCAUGCAUGGGCAGACUGGGCAGUAGAGGCUCCUCUGAAUGGGUGAUGCUUCCCUAAUAGGAACUUGGAACAAAU
ensembl:ribozyme RNaseP_nuc Nuclear RNase P